rnacentral:lncRNA from 1 species
AGGAGAUGUCGAAAGGGAGGCUAACUAGGAAUGGUGUGGGCUUUGGAAAGCUCAAAGCCCACCCCAGUGACACGCCUCCUCCAACAAGGCCACACCUCCUAAUCCUUCCCAAACAGUUCCACCAAUACAUGAGCCAGUGGGGGCCAUUCCCACUCAGAUCCCUGCAGCUCCCAUGGGAAGACGGAUCAUGAUUCAGAACUCUACAGGGUGGACUUACAAAUCACUCUUAGAACAGAGCAAGCCAAAGAGAUAUGCUGCCCAGCAUCCAGCUGGGAGGUGGUGCCAUCCUGCUUUAUGGCUUUGAAAAAAUCACAUGUAGCUCACGUUCUGUCAACUUACUCCAUUGUUAUUUUUGUUGUAACAUUCUCAUUAAUUCGCACAUAUUGCUCUGUUCUCUGUGUGAUUUUUUUUAAGGUUAACUGUUCUUGCAAAUAGUUAACCAAUCAUUUCAAAGUCAGUGCCGCUUUUAAUGUGAAACUCUCUUUCUCUCUCUCCACUUGUUUACACCACCACCCCCAUUCUCGUAAGUGGCACUUUGAGGUUUUCCUUUCUCCUGUUUUAUAAGAAUUGAUUGGUGCUUUAUUGAUCUCCGUAGCUUCUGGAAAGGUGAAAAUUGAAGGGGUGGGUGUUCUUUGUUGUACAUAUCUAAGAACAACUGCUCACCUUCCCUUAACAUCCAUCGUCUUAUCUUGUUCAUCAACACUAAGAACUGUUACUGGGCAUUUUAAUGAGUGUCCUGGAAAAUGAAUCUUUACCAGUUACUUUCUUCGGUCUUGGGACUUGCAGUGAAAUGUGGGAUUUUCCAAGUCUCUCCCUGCCAGAAUACAAUGAAGACGGGUGUUAUAUGGGCUACUAAGUAGGCUUCUAUAACUGUCUAAAUUCUUGAAGAAUAUGAGCAGUUUAGAGAAGGUUUCCUACAAGGUGUUUAGCUUGGCCUUCGUAUGUGAACGCCUUGAGGUCCUAUGAGGAGGCUAUGUGGCCUGUGCUGCCCUUGGAGAGUCUGAUCAGAGGUGGGGCUCAUCCUGUGCUGCCUGUUACUCAGCACGGAAGGAAGAAGGAAGAAACACUGCUGGGAACGUUGCGGACCAUCCUUUCUUAUCUUCUCUUACAGAGUGUAGCCACCAGUGAGUUAGGUAAGGUCCUGGGGUACUAAACCAGGGUCAUAUCAUUGCUCGGACACUGUAAGAGAGAAUGCUUUGUGGUGGGGAUGUUCCUGCAUAUUCAAACUUGCUAACAGUACAUUAUUUCAUUAGCCAUUUUGUUAACCAUCAUAAAGGCUGUUGUGGCAUAAAGUAAGUUUGUCCAUGCAAAGCAUCAUAUGUCUUGUCUGGCGUACAGCCUGUGUUCAGUGUGUGUUAGUCACUGUCACUGUGGUGGUGUACAGCCUGCGUUCAGUGUGUGUUAAUUGUCACUGUCCCUGCCACAAUGCUUUGAGUGAGAAGAGGCUCUCACCCAGCUCCCUGCAUUUACUGAAACUUAACGGUUAUUCAAAACCUCAUGACUGGCUUUCUCCGAGGAAUGCCUUGUGAAGAUCACUCUCCCACAUCCGUUUGCAGGACUGGCCUCACAGCUAAGUUCUGUGUAGACUGAUCUUAUCUCCGAGAAUGACUUCUGUGAGGAUUGCUGACUGUGGACCGCCCAGCCUGACCUCAGGGAUUCACACUUACAUGUGACCUGGCCUAUCUGGCAGACAGUUGUCACCAUAGUACUUGGUGCUGUUUCCAUAUGAUACACACCCACAACCCUCUCCUUCUCUGAUGUCCUGAUAUUAAUAACAUGUUAGCGGAUUUUUUAAAAAUUAUUUCAAUCUAUUUGCUUUCUAAGAGCACAUCGUAUACCUGUGUGAAUGUAUGAAGUUUUCUUGAAUGUAUAUUCAACUUAAAUUAACAUUUUCCCAUUUUUGAUUUACUUUAUUUUAUUGAAAAAAAAUUCAUGGAUAUAUUCUGAUCAUGCUCCCUCUUUCUCCAACUCAUCCAAGAUCCUUCCCACCCAUUCAAGAGAAUUCUCAAGAACUCCAUGCCCGUCCCCCCUCUCUCUAAUACAAACAGGCAAAACACUAAAUCAGAAACUAUAAAAGACAAAUACAAG